AUUUACACGGUAAGAGUUCUCAUUUGAGCUCAAAUGCGAACAAACUUAGGUGUUUGAGCUUGAGUGCGAACAAAGUUCCAAGGGUACAAGUUGGAGUUUGAGUGCAAAAAUGUACACGAAUGCGACUUUUGAAGGAUUUUUUGGGAAAUGUGUUGGGGCCAUGUGUAGCAGUAAUUUUAUUUCGCCGUUUUGCGUAUUUCAUUUCUAAAUCUGUUUAUUGACUUGCUGACAUUGGUUAUUUUUCCAUUUGUGACAAUGUGUUAAAUAUUUUAGGGCCAUGUGAAUAAAUCAAACUUUAAAAUCUCGUCGUUCUUCAUUGAUACUCAUUGUGAAAAAAAUGUUCUAGGGUCAUGUGUAUACAAAAAUUUCUCAUCGCCGUUUUGUACUUCUGCCAAACCCAUUUUUCCUUUGUGUUUUCUUCUAUUUGUAACAAAUUAAAUGUUACAGAACUCUAGGGCCAUGUGAACAAAUCCUACAAAAUCUUUUGCGAAAAUCUCGGGUCCAUGGAUACACAUUCUUACUUUUUGCAGUUUUCGUAACCAUGUCUACAUGUCUUGCAUUGAGAACCAUACCGUAAACCAAUUUGGGGUCAUGGCGUGCAUCUUCACACUUUUCUUUGUUGUUUUGUAGGAAAUUCCCUGAUCGUGACAUAAUUGUAGACUUUGUAGGAUUGCGAACAAACUUCGUGUUCGAGUGCGGACGAAGAAGUCGCGGAGUACGAAAAAAAUACAGACGAGUUCGUGUUCGGGGCCGAGUGAGAGUAACGGUACGAGUUCGUAUUUAAGUUCGAAUGCGAACAAAGUUCGUGUUUGAGCUCGAGUGCGAACAAAGCUACGGGUUCGAGUACGAAAAAAAAAUACGGACGACUACGAGUUCAUGUUUGGCGCCGAGUGAGAGUGCGAGUUUACACGGUACGAGUUCGCAUUUGAGUUCGAAUGCGAAGAAAGUUCGUGUUUGAGCUCGAGUGCAAACAAAGUUACACGAGAGCGAGUAACAGUUCGAGUACAAAAAUGUACACAAGUACGAGUUUUGAAGUAUUUUAUUGGGAAACAUGUUGGGGCCAUGUGUAGCAGAAAUCCUAUUUCGUCAUUUUGCGUAUUUCAUUUCCAAAUUGUAACAUCUGCACUUGACCUUCUGUUAAAUCUUGCACACCCAAUACCUUCUGCUUGUCAGUUAUUGACUUGUUGACAUUGGUUAACUUUCCGGUUGUGACAAUGUGUUAAAUAUUCUAGGGCCAUGUACAAAUCAAACUUAGAAAUUGCCGUCAUAUUUUACAUUUUCGCGUCGUUCUUCAUUGAUACAAAUUGUGAACAAAAAUUUUCUAGGGUCACUUGUAUAAACAACAUGUCUCAUCGCCGUUUUGUAAAAGAUUCUGCCAAGCCCAUUUUCCCCUUGUGUUUUCUUCUGUUAUGUAAUAGAUUAUGUUUCAGAAUUCUAGGGCCAUGUUAACAAAUCUUACUUUGCCUUGAAAACAAUUUGUUCCUUCAUUUUGUCCCUUCAUCCCGUCUUGAGUGAGCAUCAUUGUGUAAAAUACUCACGAGCAAUGUGAUGAGUCUUCAUAUCUAUUUUAAGGCUCAGCAAAUCUUAAAUGCUGAAGGUUUUUGCAUACUCAUUGAAUAUGGAAUUCAACUGCUAUAACUUCAUUGUGAUUCAUUGAAUGAAUAACUCUAUAGGGACAUGUUAACAAAUCUACCUUAUUUGGUUGUUUAGCAGCAAUUUCCUCAGCUGCAACGCCAUGCCCAUCCCUCUUUAGCGUCGAGAUUGAAAAGGGCUGUGGCCAUGUGUGUAGAUCUUACCGAUUAUUUGAAACAUGUAAUAGUCGUGAAACAUGUAAUCACAGUAGUAAUGGUGUACAAUUAUUCCACGACAUGAAAUAGUCUGUGAUCCUUGUUGAAAUAUAAUAAGUCCGAUCUGCAAAGAUCGGUAAUGCCUAUUGUGUUAGGGCCAUGGUGACAAUGCUGCUAAUAAUCAGGUGAUGACACCUGUUUCGUCGGAUAAUCCCAUAAUGGCUUUGGAAAAGUAUCUGAGUCACAGAUUUAAACAAGUGGAGGUUUGAUCGACGUUGCCUUUUUAAUAUCGAUAAGUCCGAUCAGCGCAGAUCGGCAAUGUGAAUAUUGUUUCCAUUUGAACAGGUGCGCGUUGCUUUCGGCAAACUGGAAGUUAAGCUUUAAACUGUCCAUGCAAGGAGACUUCCCGACCAGUGGGCCAACUGAUUUAGAAUAGCGCUAAACUAAGUUGUCCCUUUCUCUAUGGUUGUACUCAUUACGGUGGUCAGGUAAGGGCCACUGAUUGCAUUACCUUCAUUGUAAGUAUGAGACUGCGCAGUCAGUUAGGCCUAGUAAUAGGUAGGGUUGACCUACAAACUAAGUUUUCCUUUUCUAUGGUUGCAUAAUCUUUCAUUCAUUGGUCAUGUAAGGACCACAUGUUCUCUUGUUCCACUACAAUAUGGCGGUAGGUUGACCAAGAAAUCGCUGUACCUUUGCCUUUUUUUUAUGUAUCUUUCAUUCAUUGGUCAGGUUAGGACCACAUUUCCCCUCGUUUCACCACAAUAAUGGUCACUAAUUAUUUUGACCAUUAAAUCACUGCAUAUAACUUCACCUAGCUCCGCUAGGUAUGUUUGUUUUCUCUUUUUGUAAGUCCAUUUUUAGCCACUUGCAGUUAGGUUAUGAGGACAUGCAAGCCCGAGUGUUCCUGUCGGAUGCUAAGGAACCGGAAGCAGGGAGGAGGAACAUCGGAUGACUGAGGACCCUGCUUGCUGGGCAUCCCAUUACUGCUUCCAUGGAUAUGAGGGUCUACAAGAUGAGAUGUCUUUCUGGACGGAGUUACGGUCGAUUCCGAAUCCCAAGGAACCGGAACCGGAAGCAGGGAGGAGGACCAACGGAAGGACUGACUGACCCUGCUUGCAGAGCAUGUCUUCACAAUUCCUUGAGAUUCCACUUGCUUCGUGUCGGCAGCAAAAAUGUACUUGUAUCAGCGAACUGCCAUCUUGCACCGCCAUAAAUUAUGUUACUGUAGGCACUGUUAAUUAUUUUUUUUGUAUAAUUUGUAGUUAAAGCUUUACUCUAAUUGUAUGUUUCCAUGCCUGUACAGCGCAUUGGGUCAUUAUUGACUGAAUGCACUUUUACAAGAGUGGUUUAUUAUCAUUAUUAUUUAUGUAUGAAUCCACAGUAACGUUAAGCUCAUUAAGUGUUAAUGAAAUCGGAACUGAGUCUUGAAUACAGUGCUGGCCAGUUUUUACAAUUAGUGCUUAAGAAGCAAUCUUAUACAUUAAAUGCCAACAAAAACGAAAUGUAUGUUUAUUGGUUUAAGGCAGAAAAUCUGCUCAUAGUCUCAUUUUAAAGUGAAUUAUUGUAAAAGUGAAUUAUUGUAAACAUUAAUAUGGGGCCCACUCGUUGAGUAGGCCUGUGUAAAGAAAACAGGUUCUUCGUUAAAUGUGCCUCUCUCGCCCCUUUAGCAGAUAUGUUUGCCAAACUAAACUGGGUUCCAGACCAUUUCCUGCAAGGGUUAAGUCUAAAAAGGCUAUUCUCGAUUCCAAAAUUCUGAAUAAAAUGAUUCCUUAUUAUGACGAAUCUUUUUACACCGCUACGUAUAGAUUCGUGAAACAAAACAAUAAAGUAACAUGGCACUGAAAGCUUCGCAGUGAGUGGUCAAAUUAUAUGGAAUAAAUUAAAUGAACAAUUGAUAGCCAUGGAUUUCCUAGGUACAUUCAGCUAAGAACUGUACGUAAAGCCAUCAGCCAGUGCAUAUUUCUGCCACUAACCACUAGUUCAAUUUGAGCUGAUCUACAAAGUUAUAAAACUUGGUUGCCAUGGAAAUUUGGAGCCGUAUCGGGAAUUUCCCCGUGUUUUUUUUUCCUAAACCGGUUUUCGCGGGGUUUUCGCCCAUCCCGUAAUCAGCUA